UUGUCCUUACUUUAACUUACAUGCAUAAUGGAUUAUAGACAUGAUAGAUUGAGACAUAAAAGGGUUACUCAGCAUGCAUCCGUUCGGCCGGAGAAGAGCCAAAAGGUUCCAGAUGCUCUUGGUCCCUAUAGUCAGGCAAAAUCGUCUACUUCUAGGGCUCGUGCUUCUCCUCAUGCCACUCCAUUUUCUUCUUCUUGUCUCGUACGAGACGAGAUUCAC
rnacentral:lncRNA from 1 species